rnacentral:rRNA from 1 species
CAGGGCGAGAAACCUUUGCAAUGUGCGAAAGCACGACAAGGUAAUCCGAGUGUCUCCUGCUAAAGGAGUCUUUUGUCAGUUGUAGAAUCACUGGUGAAUAAGGGGUGGGCAAGUUCUGGUGUCAGCCGCCGCGGUAAAACCAGCGCCUCGAGUGGUCAGGAGGUUUAUUGGGCCUAAAGCAUCCGUAGCCGGUUGCAUAAGUUUUCGGUUAAAUCUAUGCGCUUAACGUAUAGGCCGCCGAAAAUACUGUGCAGCUAGGGAGUGGGAGAGGUACACGGUACUCGAUAGGAAGGGGUAAAAUCCUUUGAUCUAUUGAUGACCACCUGUGGCGAAGGCGGUGUACCAGAACACGUUCGACGGUGAGGGAUGAAAGCUGGGGGAGCAAACCGGAUUAGAUACCCGGGUAGUCCCAGCUGUAAACGAUGCAGACUCGGUGAUGCAUUGGCUUGUGGCCAAUGCAGUGCCGCAGGGAAGCCGUUAAGUCCGCCGCCUGGGAAGUACGUACGCAAGUAUGAACUUAAAGGAAUUGGCGGGGGAGCACCACAAGGGGUGAAGCCUGCGGUCAAUUGGAUUCAACGCCGA